UACGAAGGGGGCUAGCGUUGCUCGGAAUCACUGGGCGUAAAGCGCACGUAGGCGGCUUUCUAAGUCAGGGGUGAAAUCCUGGAGCUCAACUCCAGAACUGCCUUUGAUACUGGAGAGCUUGAGUCCGGAAGAGGUGAGUGGAACUCCGAGUGUAGAGGUGAAAUUCGUAGAUAUUCGGAAGAACACCAGUGGCGAAGGCGGCUCACUGGUCCGGUACUGGACGCUGAUGUGCGAAAGCGUGGGGGAGCAAACAGG
rnacentral:rRNA from 1 species